GCUCCCGUGGUCCAUGGGUAAGAUUCCUGGUUCUCAGCCAGGCGAAGCGGGUUCAAGUCCCGCCGGGAGUG
rnacentral:tRNA from 1 species